GUCAGCAAUUACCAAACAUAAGUCUUUUGUUGUCUUAUGUAAAGAUUUUGGUCUUUUGUUGCCGUGUCAAGAUUUGGGUUAUCCCAAUCACAUCAAAUGCUCUGGUUUGCGAUAUAUUGGGUUGGCAAUAGCAUUCUCGAUGGGGACUUCGAAGUUCUCAUAGAGUAUCUAAAAACUAAAAUAAAAGUUGAGGGUUAUUAUUUGAAACUCUACUAAAGAUUAAUGAGGAUAUUUAUAGCUAACAUCUCAUGAACAGUUUUUAACGAAAUUAAGAUAUAAUUGUAUAUUUAAACUUUACUAAAAUGAUAAAAUUUUAUUAUUGAGUAAUUAAAAAUGGAAAACUGGACUAUAAAAUGCUUUUAGACAAAGUUAUUUUAUUUUUUGUAGUCUAUAACUUAAUUCUUUUUUGAGCAGAUAUAACUUAGUAACUUACACAUGCCCAAAAAAAAACUUCCACAUGCACAUCAUGUUUGAAUUUUAAUUGUAAAACGAUUCUACGUGC
rnacentral:lncRNA from 1 species